GCUGCUCCCCGGGCCCGAGGGAUCCCCCGCAGCCGCGCGCCCGGCCUGGGGCGGAGUGCUCGCGGGUGUGUCCGUCCGUCCGUCCGCCGCCCCCGCCCCCCUGCGGUGGCUCCCGGCUCGCCCGCCUCGGCGGCCGCGCCCGGCAGAUGCACUGUGCGUGGCCCCGGCUACUGGGCCCGGGCCUCCCGGCCCGGUCGGCCCAGGGUUGGGGGACGCGGCUGAAGCGACCUCCCCGUCUGCUCUCAACACCUGAGGAAACUGGCAGAAAAGUUUGAGAACGAAAAGUCCAAUCGUCUUUCAGCUUCCGCCCUCCCUAUGACACUCCAGCCACGGAUGGUGCAUAUAUAUUUGCCUCACUCACCUUGAGCAUGGCCAUGAAACCAGUGUGAAGAAGCGAGGAUGUGUCCAGGCCUUGAAUGUUUGCAUUUGCUCUCUGAUGCUCCUCCCUUCACCAUGAGAUCUAUAUACCCUGGAUGAGCCAUGGUUCCAUGAUAGAGAGACACAUGGAACAGACCCAAGCCAAGCCCAGCUGAGUUCAGCCAACCUGUGGACCCAAGAGUAAAAAGAAAGAUAUGUCUGCUGUAAGCCACUGAGAUCUGGGGAUUAUUUGUUACAUAGCCAUGUCACAGCCACGCCUGACUAAUGAGUGUUCAUGAUUUUCUUUACAUGGAACCGCUCUAAUACUUGGAUCUGAGAUGCUCACUCUGAUGCAUAUCACUGAAGAAUUGAGGUCUAAGAAGCAGUCUUUUCCCCUUCAGACUUCUUUCCAUGGCCUCUUCCCAGAAUGUGCAUCUCCUACAUUUUCAGGACAGUUAAUCGCAUUGAAAAAUUCUGUCCAACAAGCCACUCUACAGACUCUCAGCCCUGCCAGUGCCUGACAAGGGCUAUUCUUGUUGUGGGAGGACCUCAGCUUUAUGGGGAGGAUGAUGGGGCUGAAGCUCGGAGAGACAGAGGGACCUAUGAAGCUGCAGCAGCAGGAGCAGAAAGCACAGCUGUGGGGCCUUCUGGAAAGAACAGAGAAGAGGAGCGGCCCUAUGCUGGCGCCGCACGAGGACAUCGUAAACCUGAACCAGGAUGUUCUUUGUGAUGACAGGGUAAUGGGAGGUGGACGGAGUUGUUGGUAUGAGGGAUCAAGCUGUUCUAUUCAGGAGUGACAAGAAAAAAAUACCUUGACUUUCACAUCCAUGAGUUCCAAUCCGUCCUGGGGGAGCAGUCAGGCCAUCUGGGUCGGAAGAGGCCGGAACCGGCUUCUGGCCAGAGCAGACCUCUUCUUGGAUUCCAGCCUCUGUGAUCAGAAUCUUUCAGCCUAAACGCACACCCUGCCUUGCCCAGACCCCACUGGGAGCAUUUCAGGGUUCUCAGGAAGUUGAUGGUUCUGAGUUCGGUGCCUCACCAAGAGGGAAUGAAGAGUGAUGAGAAGAGAUGCUGCUCAAGCUGCUCAGAGCCUAGAGGGGAGACCUGAGACCUUAAAGAAGCAGACAGAAGGAGGAAGGGAGGAUCACGGGCCUUUCGUCGGUUCUACACGGUGUCACUUUACGGCAGAUUUCACGUGGGUGGCAGAGCUGAGCCUUUGCCGCGUGUUCCAGCUCCCAACUCCAUCCCUUUCUGGAUUCCCUGCUGGACACGUUCUUUCCUCUGGGACUAGCACACUUGGAUUUGGCUCAGUUCCUUCUGGAAGCCGAAGAUGAGCAGGAAGGAAGGAUCACGGGCCUUUCGUCGGUUCUACACGAUGUCACUUUACGGCAGAUUUCACGUGGGUGGCAGAGCUGAGCCUUUGCCGCGUGUUCCAGCUCCCAACUCCAUCCCUUUCUGGAUUCCCUGCUGGACACGUUCUUUCCUCUGGGACUAGCACACUUGGAUUUGUCUCAGUUCCUUCUGGAAGCUGAAGAUGAGCAGAAACCCAUGAAAAAUCCUGGCACAUGAGGUGAUCAUGAUGGUGAUGCUGGAGAUGGUGAUGACAGCAGCAACUAAUCCUUACAGAGCAUGUGCCAGAUAGUUUUCCAAGCACAUUAUAAAGAUUAAUAUAUUUUGUGUUCAGCUACUUAUGACGACUUUGUAGGGCCUUCCAUGAUGUGAAAAUCAAAAGUCCUCUUCUGUAUUCUGAUAAUGGCAUCUUUGGAAUGAUGGAACUGAAAAGAUAGUGAUUUGAACAAUUCUUGUUAAUUGAAAGCCUCACUUAUUCUACCCAGCUCAACUUGAAGAUUUUGGAAGAGAAGAGGGACUUGUGGGUUAAGGCAGAGGGUUUGGAAAAGACUUUACUGAUUUUCUACGGCUAGGCUCAGAGUAGUAUUCAAGAUCCUUUACAAUUCAGAUUCAGAUUACUUUGUUUCUGCUUUAUGCCCUCUAUGCUAUGCUGGUCUUUAAAUUCAGCACCAUGGACAGAAUAGGUUAGAUCAGGGAGUGGUUGGAGCAAAACUCAGCUUGGGGAAGAGUAGUAGGUCACAAUAGGACCCCUUUUCAUUCUCAGGAGAUGGCCUUAUUUAAAGGCACGUGCAUUGUGAGUUGAGAAAUUCCAUAAAGGACAGCUUUGCUGCCCUAAACAAUCACCUGCAUGGAAAUAAUCGGUAAAAAAGCAUGUCCUUUGAAAUCAAAAUAUCAAAAUUUGUAUUCUAACUUUUUAAAAAUAUUUGCUAAGUCUUUGACUUUGGGCAUGGUACCCUUCCUGAGAACCAGUUUCUUUACAUGUACAUUUGGGAAAUGAAUGCCCUUAGAAGCUCCUGCUUUAUCAUUUCUACUAGCGCAGCAUUUGUUAUCUUCCUGCAAUCCUUUCACUGGCUUGUCUGUUAUCAAAUGCUGGUAGAUCACAGUAUAACGCAGUAUCCAUACUUGGCAAUCACCCGACAGAGUCCAGCCCUGAUGCAUCAGUUAUAACAUAGACACUUCUUUCUCUACCAGGGACCAUGUGGCAGCCUAAGGCACAGAGGCCUUUCUGGGCAAGCUAUAUAGAGCUGGGCCUGCUGGCUCUUUUGUUUGCAUACACCAAAUUUGAGAUGGGCUAUCAUUAACCAAAUGGAGAGCAGCUGUGCUUACUGAGAAAGUGUGCUUCCUCAGAUCUGUGGACAUGAUAGAAAUUCCACAACCAGAAUGUCUGGCUCAAGAGGCCUCAGGAACAUGUGAAGCUGCUUUAGUUAACGUUCCAGGAGAACUUCUUUUUCUUUGGCCUAAUAUCUCCUGGGCUGAUCCAGUGAUGAAUCCUUAAGUUUCUCAAUUAGAAGAUUACGCCUUUGGGAUGAGUAGGAUUUUCUCUGUUAAAAGGCAAAUUCCAAUAGCAAGAUCUCACAUUAAACAGUUCCCAGCCAGUGACACCUUCUUUAGUGUGAAUUAAAGGCUGGCAACUUCCUCUAGAAAUUAAACACAGAACUGAAUAGGGACCAGAUGAGGGACAGAAAAGUCCAGAGUACAAGUCCCCUCAUCUGGAGGCUAUAAGAGAUGAGAAGAAGUUCACAGAUGGAAAGAAGAGUUGCCAAAGACCACAUCUACACACUUCAAAGUUGCGUCCAAAGUUGCUGCCAGCUGAAACCAGAUUUUUAUUUGUUCUUGCAAUAUGAUCAAACUUUUGAUUAAAUAGACACCUUGUCCACCUUUUCUCUUAGUCUCUCCUUUCUCUUCCCCAAAUACUCUCUAUUUUUUACCUCUUCAUCUUCUCUUCUCUAUUCUCAAUGAUCCAGGAUCCAAGUUGCUGCCAGUAUCUCACAGCACAUGUUACACACAUAUUUCUAGGAACCCCAGAAUGACUUGAAGAGACAUGGUAUCUGGAAUGGUGGUGUGAGAUGCACUAUGGUCCCUCUCCAUUCAAAGUCUCUGGAAAUUGUUUUCAGGGCAUAUAGCAAAUGAAAUAUUCAUUGAAGGUCAUUUACUGAAUCUUGGUAAGAACAGAACAGUGUGUAGCAUUUGUGCCACAGUUCAGUCCCCCUUCCCACUCUCCAAGCUCUCAGUGAUGGAGAUACACUCCAGGCAAAUGCAGCCAGGAGCACAAGGUUCUACCUUUACCCAGCUCCCAGUUGAGAGAUGUGGUACCUCAUAAGGAGGGGCAGGUCACCAGUACUUGUCACCCAACCCCCUACUCCCAUCUCUUUGUUUCAGAGGCUCUAUUCCUAGCAGAAGUGACAAGUGGUAUAGGGCUUUCUUCCUCUACCCAGCUCCCACUUGUAGAAUUGGAAAAUAUACCUCAAGCAUGGAAGACCAGAGAUAGAGAGCCCCAGUUCCUGCCCCCCGCCCCCGCCAGCUUGGUUAUAUGGCCAAGACUCCAUUCCAGAAAUGCAAGCUGCAAAUACUGGAGGCUGCUGCCCCAGUCCAGGUGACGCUAAGGAAGCUCAUGGAUCAGGGCUGUGACUCUGAGAAAAGUGGGCCAUGGUCCCUGCCCUCAGCUAUGGAGCAGUGGUGCAGAUUUGUUGCUCAAGAGGAGGGGCAGACCGUUAAAAUAAAGCACUCUGAAGCCACCCACGCCAAGAGAUCUGACUUUAUUUGUACCAUAGUAUGAGGAAGUUCAAGCCUAGGCAUGUUCUUAAAAACAAAGAAGAUUUUGAUGAAAAGCAAUUAGGAAGAGUCUGGUGGUUCCAUGAUAUCAACAAGCUAAACCUUAGACCAUAUAGAAAUUUACCAGAGAGAACUAUGGAAAGAGACAGCUAGGAAGAACCCUCCUGGGUUGACACAGGCCUCCAAGACUGGCCUCAAAGAUUAGCCCUGCAAGGGACCUACAUUUAAUUUCAACAGACUGUGGAGCAAUUUAUUCCCUAGGGCAUUGUCAAAAUAAUAGAAUAAUCAGCCAGCAAUUAGUGGAGGCUUAUAGCUAGGCAUGAUCUCAUGGAGGCAGAUGACAGAGAGAUCAGCAAAAGAGACAAAAUGAUCACUAAUAAAAUCACUGCCAUCCAGAGUGACAGUCUGCAUGCCCAUGGCUGAACACUCUGAGCAGUGGUAACAGAGGCCUCUUUCUUGACGGGGAAUAGACCAUUAACAUAAUCCAGCCAACGCAGCAGCAAACAAAUAGCAAAUAACAACAAGCCCCAGGGGAGGGGAGCAACAUACACAGUUGCAUUAUCCAAAAUGUCCAGCUUUCAAUAAAAAUUAUGGGAUAUGCAAAGAAAUAGAAGAUGGUGACCCAGAUGGGAAAAAAGCAGGCCAGAGAAACUGCCUGUCAAGGACCCAGAUGUCAAACUUAGCAGACAAAACUUUAAAGCAACCUUACACAUACCUCAGAGAUAUUGAAGGUUUGGUUCCAGACCACGGCAAUAAAGCAAAUACCACAACAAAGUGAGUCACACUUUUUUUUUUUUGGUUUCCCAAUGUGUAUAAAAGUUAUAUUUACGUCACACUAUAGUCUGUUAAGUUUGUAAUAGUAUUGUUUAAAAAUGUACAUAUCUUAAUUCAAAAAUACUUUAUUGCUAAAAAAUACCAAAACAAUAACAAUAGUAACAUCGAAGUUCACUGAGCACAGAUCAGAUCACUGUAACAAAUAUAACAAUGAUAUAAAAAUUAUUGCUAUUAACAAUGAAAACAAUAAUGAAGAAAUAUUGUGAGAAUUACCAAAAUGUGACACAGACAUGAAGUGGGCUAAUGCCACUGAAAAGUGGUGCUGAUGAAGUGUUGACACAAACCUACCACUUGUAAGAACUGCAGUAUCUGCAGAGUGCAGUAAAGCAAAGUGCAGUAAAAUGGGGUAUGCCUGUAUUAUAAAUGUAUUCAAAGAACUAUAGGAAAUUACACUUAAAGACAUAAAAGGAGGAAGGGGGUAUAAUGACCGUGUAUCAUAAAACAGAAUAAUAAUAAAGAGAAAUGAUAAAAAAAGAACCAAAUGGGAAUUCCUUUCAUGGCUCAGCGGUUAAUGAACCUGACUUAACCCUGCACAGUAGGUUAAGUAUAUGGCGUA